rnacentral:rRNA from 1 species
AGAAUGAACGCUGGCGGCAUGCCUAACACAUGCAAGUCGAACGAGACCUUCGGGUCUAGUGGCGCACGGGUGCGUAACGCGUGGGAAUCUGCCCUUAGGUACGGAAUAACUCAGGGAAACUUGUGCUAAUACCGUAUGAUGUCGAGAGACCAAAGAUUUAUCGCCUAGGGAUGAGCCCGCGUAGGAUUAGCUAGUUGGUGGGGUAAAGGCCUACCAAGGCUACGAUCCUUAGCUGGUCUGAGAGGAUGAUCAGCCACACUGGGACUGAGACACGGCCCAGACUCCUACGGGAGGCAGCAGUGGGGAAUAUUGGACAAUGGGCGAAAGCCUGAUCCAGCAAUGCCGCGUGAGUGAAGAAGGCCUUCGGGUUGUAAAGCUCUUUUACCCGGGAAGAUAAUGACUGUACCGGGAGAAUAAACUCCGGCUAACUCCGCGCCAGCAGCCGC